CUGUGCUGCAAAAUAUCAACCCAUUUUUUCCAACUUAUUUUGACUACGAAAAUGGUAUCUUCUUUUUGAUACCAUAUAUCCAAAUCCAAGCAGUUCAAUUUUGUCAUUUUGCAGCACAGAAAUCACAUACAAGCAUCCAUUCUAUACACAAGAAAUGGGAACUUCUUCUGCAUACCCUAAUCUUCAUUUUUUGUUUUGUUUUUUUCCCCCUGGAAUAUUUUUAGAACCUUUGGUUAAUUUUAACUCUGGAACUGGAGAUGAGGGCUCAAAAGUAAUUGCUGGUUCAA
rnacentral:misc_RNA from 1 species